UACGGGGGGGGCAAGCCUUGUUCGGAAUUACUGGGCGUAAAGGGUUCGUAGGUGGCCCGCUAAGUCACACGUGAAAUCCCUCAGCUUAACUGGGGAACUGCGUGUGAGACUGGCAGGCUUGAGUGCAGGAGAGGAACGCGGAAUUCCAGGUGUAGCGGUGAAAUGCGUAGAUAUCUGGAGGAACACCGGUGGCGAAGGCGGCGUUCUGGACUGUAUCUGACACUGAGGAACGAAAGCCAGGGGAGCAAACGGG
rnacentral:rRNA from 1 species